rnacentral:lncRNA from 1 species
GGGGGAGUCACUAGUGGCAUGGUUGUCAUGGCAACAGCUGCCUUUGCUAACUGAUUUUCCCCAGACAACCAUGAUACCAUUACAAAGAAGGGUCCGAGGAGGAGCUGCAGUGAGAGCAGUCUGGGGUUGGAUAAGUUCCUGCUUCACUCAUUUGGGUUUGUAUUGGGGUUUGGGUCUGAAAUGUGGAUUCAAAAGAGCAUCCCUCCAAAAAGAAGGGUAAGAGAGCUGCGUCACCACCAUCUUCUGUUUCCAGUUGCCUUAUAAUAGCAGGGUUUCCUGUGAUGCCUUCUAACAGCUGUUAUGUGACUUAUGAGUUUCCAAUGGUUCUCACACUCCAGCAACCAGUAGGUCCUGAGGCUACAUCUAGAUGGAAAAAUGGUAAAGGUGAUCUGAUGUGACGCUGAUACAAUGUUGCGCAAGGUAAAUUAAGUGCAGUUUCUCUAUGAAUGUAAUAUUUCCAUAGCUCUUGAAAAAAAU